GACGAGCCACACAAACGUUAUUCGGAAUCACUGGGCUUAAAGGGUGCGUAGGCUGCGCGGAAAGUGGGGUGUGAAAGCCCUCGGCUCAACCGAGGAAUGGCGCUCCAAACUACCGUGCUCGAGGAAGACAGAGGUAAGCGGAACUGAGGGUGGAGCGGUGAAAUGCGUUGAUAUCCUCAGGAACACCGGUGGCGAAAGCGGCUUACUGGGUCUUUUCUGACGCUGAGCACGAAAGCUAGGGUAGCAAAGCGGG
rnacentral:rRNA from 1 species